UAGAUACCCUGGUAGUCCACGCCGUAAACGAUGGAUACUAGCUGUUGGAGGUAUCGACCCCUUCAGUAGCGAAGCUAACGCGUUAAGUAUCCCGCCUGUGGAGUACGGUCGCAAGACUAAAACAUAAAGGAAUUGACGGGGACCCGCACAAGCGGUGGAUCAUGUUCUUUAAUUCGAUGCUAAACGAAGAACCUUACCAGGGCUUGACAUCCCAAGAAUUACUCCGAAAGGAGUGAGUGCUUUAUUGAAC
rnacentral:rRNA from 1 species